UGGGCGUAAGAGCUCGUAGGCGGUUUGUCGCGUCUGCCGUGAAAGUCCGGGGCUCAACUCCGGAUCUGCGGUGGGUACGGGCAGACUAGAGUGAUGUAGGGGAGACUGGAAUUCCUGGUGUAGCGGUGAAAUGCGCAGAUAUCAGGAGGAACACCGAUGGCGAAGGCAGGUCUCUGGGCAUUAACUGACGCUGAGGAGCGAAAGCAUGGGGAGCGAACAGGAUUAGAUACCCUGGUAGUCCAUGCCGUAAACGUUGGGCACUAGGUGUGGGGGACAUUCCACGUUUUCCGCGCCGUAGCUAACGCAUUAAGUGCCCCGCCUGGGGAGUACGGCCGCAAGGCUAAAACUCAAAGGAAUUGACGGGGGCCCGCACAAGCGGCGGAGCAUGCGGAUUAAUUCGAUGCAACGCGAAGAACCUUACCAAGGCUUGACAUGAACCGGAAACGCCUGGAAACAGGUGCCCCACUUGUGGUCGGUUUACAGGUGGUGCAUGGUUGUCGUCAGCUCGUGUCGUGAGAUGUUGGGUUAAGUCCCGCAACGAGCGCAACCCUCGUUCUAUGUUGCCAGCACGUGAUGGUGGGGACUCAUAGGAGACUGCCGGGGUCAACUCGGAGGAAGGUGGGGACGACGUCAAAUCAUCAUGCCCCUUAUGUCUUGGGCUUCACGCAUGCUACAAUGGCCGGUACAAAGGGUUGCGAUACUGUGAGGUGGAGCUAAUCCCAAAAAGCCGGUCUCAGUUCGGAUUGGGGUCUGCAACUCGACCCCAUGAAGUCGGAGUCGCUAGUAAUCGCAGAUCAGCAACGCUGCGGUGAAUACGUUCCCGGGCCUUGUACACACCGCCCGUCAAGUCACGAAAGUUGGUAACACCCGAAGCCGGUGGGCUAACCCCUUGUGGGGGGGAGCCGUCGAAGUGGGACUGCGAUUGGG
rnacentral:rRNA from 1 species